GGCAUACGAUGAUACAGGAGAUUGCUACUAUUUGGGUAGGGAACUUCUGUGGAGAAUGUCCGAUUCGAGAAACCGGGCGACAA
rfam:Clostridium thermocellum ATCC 27405, complete genome.